GGGGGUGACAGGCUUCGACGGGGAUCAUGAGGCCAAGGUGGCAUGCCGAGAACCGGGAACUCGUUAAGUCCGGAAAAAAUAAUUGCCAACACAGAACUGGCACUCGCUGCUUAAUUAGCGGUGACGUCCCUCUUCCGCUGCCUGCGCGGGGGAAGGGACGACGAUUGCAGGCUGGCCUGCCGCUGGUGUUCAGCGGCGGCGGGCGAGAAAUACUGAGCUAGCGACUGUUCUAAGCCUGCUGCCGGGCGUGGAUAGAAGCGAAAACCAAAAUCGGCAGAUAAGCAUGUAGAGGCCUUUCGCUGACGGUCUUCGGACGCGGGUUCAAUUCCCGCCACCUCCACCA
rnacentral:tmRNA from 1 species